rnacentral:rRNA from 1 species
AUUGAACGCUGGCGGCAGGCCUAACACAUGCAAGUCGAACGAGUGGCGGACGGGUGAGUAAUGUCUGGGAAACUGCAUGAUGGAGGGGGAUAACUACUGGAAACGGUAGCUAAUACCGCAUACCAUCAGAUGUGCCCAGAUGGGAUUAGCUUGUUGGUGGGGUAACGGCUCACCAAGGCGACGUUCCCUAGCUGGUCUGCGGGGAUGACCGGCAACACGGGCACUGAGACAGGGUCCAGGCUCCUACGGGGGGCAGCAGGGGGGAAUAUUGCACAAUGGGCGCAAGCCUGAUGCAGCCAUGCCGCGUGUAUGAAGAAGGCCUUCGGGUUGUAAAGUACUUUCAGCGGGGAGGCGUUACCCGCAGAAGAAGCACCGGCUAACUCCUUGCCAGCAGCCGCGGGAAUC